GUCUUUUUGAUUAUAAUUUAAAGUCUAACCUGCCCACUGAAUGUUUUGAAGGGCCGCGGUAUUUUGACUGUGCAAAGGUAGCAUAAUCAUUAGUCUUUUAAUUGGAGGCUUGUAUGAAUGGUUGGAUGAGGUAUUAACUGUCUCAAUUUAAUAAAUAAUAGAAUUUUAUUUUUAAGUUAAAAAGCUUAAAUUUUAUUAAAAGACGAGAAGACCCUAUAGAUCUUUAUAAUUAAUUUUAUAAUAAUUUUUUAGAUUAAAUUUAUUUUUAUAAGAUAAAUUAUUAUAUUGGGGUGAUAAAAAAAUUUAUAAAACUUUUUUUAUAUUAAAACAAUGAUAUUUGAUUAAUUGAUCCAUUUUUUUUGUGAUUAUAAGAUUAAGUUACCUUAGGGAUAACAGCGUAAUUUUUUUGGAGAGUUCAUAUCGAUAAAAAAGAUUGCGACCUCGAUGUUGAAUUAAAGGUUAAUUUUAGGUGUAGAAGUUUAAAAUUUUGGUCUGUUCGACCAUUAAAUC
rnacentral:rRNA from 1 species